GAUGAACGCUGGCGGCGUGCUUAACGCAUGCAAGUCGAACGAAGCACUUUAUUUGAUUUCCUUCGGGACUGAUUAUUUUGUGACUGAGUGGCGGACGGGUGAGUAACGCGUGGGUAACCUGCCUUGUACAGGGGGAUAACAGUUGGAAACGGCUGCUAAUACCGCAUAAGCGCACAGCAUCGCAUGAUGCAGUGUGAAAAACUCCGGUGGUAUAAGAUGGACCCGCGUUGGAUUAGCUAGUUGGUGAGGUAACGGCCCACCAAGGCGACGAUCCAUAGCCGACCUGAUAGGGUGACCGGCCACAUUGGGACUGAGACACGGCCCAAACUCCUACGGGAGGCAGCAGUGGGGAAUAUUGCACAAUGGGCGAAAGCCUGAUGCAGCGAUGCCGCGUGAGCGAAGAAGUAUUUCGGUAUGUAAAGCUCUAUCAGCAGGGAAGAUAAUGACGUUACCUGACUAAGAAGCACCGGCUAAAUACGUG
rnacentral:rRNA from 1 species